AACGAACGCUGGCGGCAGGCCUAACACAUGCAAGUCGAGCGAGGACUUCGGUCCUAGCGGCGGACGGGUGAGUAACGCGUGGGAACGUGCCCUUUGCUUCGGAAUAGCCCUGGGAAACUGGGAGUAAUACCGGAUGAGCCCUUUGGGGGAAAGAUUUAUCGGCGAAGGAUCGGCCCGCGUUGGAUUAGGUAGUUGGUGGGGUAAUGGCCUACCAAGCCGACGAUCCAUAGCUGGGUUGAGAGGAUGAUCAGCCACACUGGGACUGAGACACGGCCCAGACUCCUACGGGAGGCAGCAGUGGGGAAUCUUAGACAAUGGGGGAAACCCUGAUCUAGCCAUGCCGCGUGAGCGAUGAAGGCCUUAGGGUUGUAAAGCUCUUUUAGCUGGGAAGAUAAUGACGGUACCAGCAGAAGAAGCCCCGGCUAACUCCGUG
rnacentral:rRNA from 1 species